AAAAUGGACAAAUAAUUGAAGUUGAUUGCUAUGUUUCUUUGCAUCCUGUCCAAAAGUUUUGUCAUGGCUGCUCUAGAAAAUCAACCUUUCACUCCGUGCCCAGUAAGGACAUACUGACUAUUUGUACAACACAAGGUCGCUUUGACAUAAACAGUACAUCAUUCAAGUGUGUUUCUUGUUCAGCAUUCUUGAUGCCGACACUUGCAGAUAUUCUUGGUAAUGGCUACUGGCCAGCAAAUCCAAAGUCUUUAAAUGUGUUAUUUUCACAGGAUUUACUUCUGCUGUGGAACACAAUGCAAAAGAGAAUGCCAGGUUGUUCUGAGUCCAGUUUUAUUAGAUCAUUGGAAGACAUAAGUGUUUCAAAAGGAAGGUUUGGAUCAAUAAAUCCACGAACGUUCACAAAAGCCUUUCGA